rnacentral:rRNA from 1 species
AGGGCACCACCAGGAGUGGAGCCUGCGGCUUAAUUUGACUCAACACGGGAAAACUUACCCGGCCCGGACACUGGAGGGAUUGACAGAUUGAGAGCUCUUUCUUGAUUCAGUGGGUGGUGGUGCAUGGCCGUUCUUAGUUGGUGGAGCGAUUUGUCUGGUUAAUUCCGAUAACGAACGAGACUCUAGCCUACUAAAUAGACCAGAGGCUUCUUAAAACACGUCUCUGGCUGCUUCUUAGAGGGACAGGCGGCGAUUCAGCCGCACGAAACAGAGCAAUAACAGGUCUGUGAUGCCCUUAGAUGUCCGGGGCCGCACGCGCGCUACACUGAAGUGAUCAGCGUGCUUUUUGUACCCUGCUCUGCCAAGAGUGGGUAACCCAAUGAACCUUCUUCGUGAUUGGGAUAGGGGAUUGUAAUUAUUCCCCUUGAACGAGGAAUUCCCAGUAAGCGCGAGUCAUAAGCUCGCGUUGAUUACGUCCCUGCCCUUUGUACACACCGCCCGUCGCUACUACCGAUUGAA